rnacentral:lncRNA from 1 species
CUAUAUCACUAGUAAUUCUGAGAUGAUAGAUCAUGUAAGACUUUUUUUUCUUUUUUAAAAUUUAAAAUAUCUGAUCAUUCCCCAUGACCUGAAAAAUGUUCCACAUUUUCCCUUAGGGAAAUUUGAUGAACUAUUUUGUAACUUUUAUGUCCUUACAUUUUUCCAAAGCCACAUAAGAUGUGGACAUAUCUUAUUUGGGUAGUCCUGUAUUUCCUGUAUUACCAUGGCUAACCAUGAAAACCAAAAGCAGCUUCGUUCUGUAGAAUGCUGAGCUUCCUGGCCCUGGUCCAGCAAAGCACUUGAGUACAGGCUUAACUUUGAGCACAUGCAUCUCAUUGGAGUUGAUGAGACUACUCAUCAGAUGCUUUCAGAUCAGCUGUCUGAUGGGUUUCACCCUAGGAUACUUUAAAAAAUGGGUGGAAAAACAUGAGCUCCGCUUGUUAUUUUAGAAAGAGGGAACAUUGUUCAAACAACAAUGAAAUGGUGUAGCUGGUGCUGUUGUUAAGUGUAGACAAUGAUCUCAAGUUCAUUUUUUACACAGUGCUGGAACAAAUAAUCAAAUUAACUGUUACUAUAGACCAGGGAGAAGACAGAAGCACAAGAGUUGGUGUGGAUUUGUCAGGAACAGCUGAUUUGCAGUAGCUCUGCGGGAAAUGCUCUGGGGAUGGCACUGGUUUAUAAACAGAACACUGUAGGUCCUUCAGAGAGGAGAUCCAAUCUGUCCUGCCAGGGCUUGAAAAACAGAAAAACCCUUUGGCACGAACCUGUGCUGGGCUCCUGCCAUCAGCUAAGCUGCAACAGCUUGGUAUAUCCUCUUUCCUUACGCAGCUGGGUCUUCAGCCAAAGGAUGGGGGCACAAACGUGCAUGCAUCACUCUGCUUUGUGUACAGACUUCAGCCACAGACACAUUUCCUUUUGGACCCUGGCUGAAGAACAGCUGUUGAGAAGAGAGGUGAUACUUGUUUUUUGCUGUUCUACUUUCCCUACUGGAGGAGAGGAAUUCUGCUCACAGACUCUUCUGCCAUUCUCAGAUUACUGUACUAAUAAAAAUGAAUAGGAAAGUUUUAAAAGGAUAAAAGAAUAAAUACAUUGGACACCUAUGAGCA